rnacentral:rRNA from 1 species
GUAGGUGGCAAGCGUUGUCCGGAAUUAUUGGGCGUAAAGCGCGCGCAGGCGGUUCUUUAAGUCUGAUGUGAAAGCCCACGGCUCAACCGUGGAGGGUCAUUGGAAACUGGAGAACUUGAGUACAGAAGAGGAAAGCGGAAUUCCACGUGUAGCGGUGAAAUGCGUAGAGAUGUGGAGGAACACCAGUGGCGAAGGCGGCUUUCUGGUCUGUAGCUGACGCUGAGGCGCGAAAGCGUGGGGAGCAAACAGGGAUUAGAUACCCUGGUAGUCCACGCCGUAAACGAUGAGUGCUAAGUGUUAGGGGGGUUUCCGCCCCCUUAGUGCUGCAGCUAACGCAUUAAGCACUCCGCCUGGGGAGUACGGCCGCAAGGCUG